UCAGAGUGAACGCUGGCGGCAGGCCUAAUACAUGCAAGUCGAACGGCAGCACAGCAGAGCUUGCUCUGUGGGUGGCGAGUGGCGGACGGGUGAGGAAUACGUGGGAAUCUGCCCAGUCGUGGGGGAUAACGUAGGGAAACUUACGCUAAUACCGCAUGCGCCCUUCGGGGGAAAGCCGGGGACCUUCGGGCCUGGCGCGAUUGGAUGAGCCCACGUCGGAUUAGCUAGUUGGCGGGGUAAAGGCCCACCAAGGCGACGAUCCGUAGCUGGUCUGAGAGGAUGAUCAGCCACACUGGAACUGAGACACGGUCCAGACUCCUACGGGAGGCAGCAGUAGGGAAUAUUGGACAAUGGGCGCAAGCCUGAUCCAGCCAUGCCGCGUGAGUGAAGAAGGCCCUCGGGUUGUAAAGCUCUUUUGUCCGGAAAGAAAAGCGCCGGGUUAAUACCCUGGUGUCCUGACGGUACCGGAAGAAUAAGCACCGGCUAACUUCGUG
rnacentral:rRNA from 1 species